GCCGGAAGUCCCGUUCUCUGGGGAGCGGGAACCCUGGCGACCCGUGUCAUGGGAGCGGGUUUCUGUUACGUGGGCUUUAGCGCGAGCUGGGCGGUCGGCCCGGUCCCACCGAACUGCAUAGGGCCGUGUAGCCGGGGGAAGUCAGCCCCCUGCUCUGAGAAGCAGACUCUGCAUCUGUAAAAGGCUAAGCGUGCCCACUGGGGCCUGUGGUCAGGAUUGGCUGCAGUGAGGUCCGCAAAGCCCCUACCGCAUCCUGCGCCUUCGUUAGGGUGAGCAGUCAUGAGGACUCGCAUUGUGCCACCACGUAGCGGGUCUCACUGGGUCCGCUUGUCUGCUCGAGGAGACAGCCCGUGAGGACGGGAGCUGGCCUGCUUUGCCCAGGCUGUAACCUCAGCCUCCGCCCAUACCCACAGAGAAAAAGUAGUCAUAAUACAAAAGAAAAAUGGACAAUGCUUGGACACCAUAAUAAAAAUUAACACUACCAACAAGGAGCAUGGACAUUGUGUGGCUUCAGAUGUAAUGUGAAGGACAACCUCCGUUGAAAAGGGCAACUGCUGUAGUAUUCUAAUCUGGAAUGCAUCACCUAAUCCUAUCAUAAGAAGACAUUAGGAAAAAAAAAUAAAGAUAAUUCCAUUUUUUAAUG